GUUUGUGUCCUGGAUUUCACUACCCCGGGGUUGCGCCUCCAGCAGCUAGGAGGAAAGAACACUUUCUCCUCGCCAGUGGGCGCUCGGAUGCUCGCGGACGUGACUGAUCGCGCAGCGUACCGCCGGCACACAAUGGAUGACACUGCCCAAAACCUACCGGGACUGUCCCUGCCGCGAGUCCACUCGGAACACCAGCUCUGCAGCCUCGGAGCCCAGUUUUGUAUUUAGGAAUCUGGCUGAAAUUGUCAGUCCUUUGUGGGGUUGAUGAAUUCGUCUUCUCUGCACUGAAUCACCUACACAUCUCCUGCCCGUGGGAAUUGCAGGUCCGACUUGCAACUGUUGAAAGAGACAAAUGACUUCACUUUAUACUGUAUGCCUUUAACUCGGUGACUAUGAAUCUGUGUCUGGACUCCUCCGUGAAGACUGCUGAACAACUCCACCUUGAUCGUAGAAGGUGAUAGGCAAUAGACAUAUUAGACAGUGAGUAAUUCAAUAGAUAGUGAUUAAUUCAGACCCUCAAAACUGUUGAAAGUCCUGAGAAUAAAUAGGGCUGAGCAUGGGACACUGGUAUGAACACCCGUAAGAUGCUGUCUUCCGAACAUAAUAUGGUUGACCUGGCUCAUGAAUUCACAGCAAGACCUACACACGAUGGAGCCUGUCAAUCAAUAUUCUAGCAUACCAGGGCAGGAAGGGCGUAUGAGACCAGUAGUGAGGAGAUUAUUGGAAAUGAAUGGCUGCUGAGAGAUGCCAUCUAUUUUCUUCCAGUAAAGAGCCUGACACCCAUGCUCAUGUUCAAAGCCCUAAUUAAACUCAGUGAGUAACUGUCUUAAUCAGGGUUUCUAUUCCUGCACAAACAUCAUGACCAAGAAGCAAGUUGGAGAGGAAAGGGUUUAUUCAGCUUACAAUUCCAUACUGCUGUUCAUCACCAAGGAAGUCAGGACUGGAACUCAAGCAGGUNNNNNGUCCCACCCACAAGGGGCCUUUCCCCCUUGAUCACUAAUUGAGAAAAUGCCUUACAGUUGUAUCUCAUGGAGGCAUUUCCUCAACUGAAGCUCCUUUUUCUGUGAUAACUCCAGCUGUGUCAAGUUGACACAAAACUAGCCAGUACAGUCACUAAAAGAAAAACCAAGAUCACAAACUAAAGCCUGGAUACGCUCAGUUCAGAUUUUUGAGGGCCUGAGGUGAGACGGCUUCAGUAGUAAAAGCACUUUCUGCUAAGGCCAAUGAAUGCCCUGAGUUUGCUCCUAAGAGCCUACAUGGUGGAAGGAGCGAACUGACUGCCAGGAGUUAUGCUCUGACCUUCACAAGUGUGCUGUGUCAUGCUCAGACACAAACACACAAACAUAAUAAAAUAAACCAAUCCAGAUUCAAAACAGAGAUUGCUGAACAAAGAAUGAAACCCCCCAUCUCAUCCUACCCUGUCCAGGUGUAUAUUUAGUCUUGUUAUGAAAGACAAAAACAAGCAAAAAACAAAACCUGUUUGGUCUUAUAUAUGCUGUAUAUAUAUUACUUUUGUAAAUUUAAAAAGAGGUAACUUUACUUCUUAUACCUCCAAAUGUUGUGGAAUGGUCCUGCUUGUCUAUGAUGAGGGUUGCCAAAGUAUGCCUAUAUACUUUAAUACAAGAGGCAGAUGGAAAAAAAAUUCUAGUCUUGUCCACCAUGAUGGUAAAGCUAGAAUCCUGCAACAAAGCUUGCCCAUCCUCAAAUUAUGCAGCUUUCGACUUCCAUGGAAAUCACAAACAGAAAUUUGCUGCAUCUAGACUUCAACUUCAACAACAACCAGUGUACUAACAAGCCGAGUGACUUAAAACUCAGUAUUUAAUUCCCCUCUGCUCACUGGCAAAAUGGAAAUCUUGAUGGUUGUCUUGCAGAGUUGAUAUAAGGACUUGAUAUGAUAUAUUCAGGUACUCAAAUGGUGCCCAGUAUAGAAAAGAUGGACCUCAGGGACUUGAGAGAUGGCUCAGCAGUUAACAGCCCACACUGCCUUUGCAGAAUACCAGAGUCCAUAUCUCAGCACCCACAACAGGCAGCUCACAAUGUCUUGUAACUCAAGAAGAUCCAGUGCCUAUUCUGGCCUCCACGGGCAACUGCAUUCACAUGCACGUACCCACACACAGGCACACACACCCGCACAUAAUUAAAAAUAAAAUAUUUUUCAAGAAGCUACCUUUGAAAACAAAAUCACACUAGCUUUCUUCAGCAUUUUCCCAAGUCCUCUAUGAGCCACAGAUGAUAAUUUCCAUUAACGUAAAAGGAUCAAAGAUCCACAUAUCAGAAGCCACAAAGGCAGCCUUUGUAGAUGUCAUGUAAAGGGACUGCUGGCCAUCUAUCAGACCUUUGGGAUCACACAAAAAAAAAACAGUUCAACAAUUCCUACCCUCUCCAUCCCCCUAAAUCCAGUGCUUUCUUCCCCCCUCACCUAUUUUUCACUCCUGGUCAGCCUUCUCUCUGUUUCUCAAACAUACUCUUUUCUACUUCAGGGCCUUUGCAGACUCCUGCCAGGACUGUGCUUGCCCAAACUCCUUACACAGCCUUCUCCAUCAGUGCUACCCCACAGUCUUCCUAUAAUUAUUCCCUGGCCUCUGCUGUGAGGUUUCAAACCACGCUACUCCUGAACUGCUCUGUUAUCUUCAUAGCACUUAACAUCUACUUAGAUUUUUUUGUUUGUUUGUUUGGUUGGUUGGUUGGUUGGUUGGGUUUGGGUUUUUAUUUUGUAGGAUGGGGGUUGGUUUUGGGGGUUGUUUGGAGUUUUGUUAUUUGGUUGUUUGGUUGUUUGUUUUCUACCAGUAAAAUAUUGAGUA
ensembl:processed_transcript